rnacentral:rRNA from 1 species
GUGGGGAAUUUUGGACAAUGGGCGCAAGCCUGAUCCAGCAAUGCCGCGUGCAGGAAGAAGGCCUUCGGGUUGUAAACUGCUUUUGUACGGAACGAAACGGUCCUGGUUAAUACCUGGGGCUAAUGACGGUACCGUAAGAAUAAGCACCGGCUAACUACGUGCCAGCAGCCGCGGUAAUACGUAGGGUGCGAGCGUUAAUCGGAAUUACUGGGCGUAAAGCGUGCGCAGGCGGUGCUGUAAGACAGGCGUGAAAUCCCCGGGCUCAACCUGGGAAUUGCGCUUGUGACUGCAAGGCUGGAGUGCGGCAGAGGGGGAUGGAAUUCCGCGUGUAGCAGUGAAAUGCGUAGAUAUGUGGAGGAACACCGAUGGCGAAGGCAAUCCCCUGGGCCUGCACUGACGCUCAUGCACGAAAGCGUGGGGAGCAAACAGGAUUAGAUACCCUAGUAGUCC